AACGAACGCUGGCGGCAGGCUUAACACAUGCAAGUCGAGCGAAGACUUCGGUCUUAGCGGCGGACGGGUGAGUAACGCGUGGGAACGUGCCUUUCUCUACGGAACAGUCCUGGGAAACUGGGUUUAAUACCGUAUACGCCCUUCGGGGGAAAGAUUUAUCGGCAAAGGAUCGGCCCGCGUUGGAUUAGGUAGUUGGUGGGGUAAUGGCCUACCAAGCCGACGAUCCAUAGCUGGUUUGAGAGGAUCAUCAGCCACACUGGGACUGAGACACGGCCCAGACUCCUACGGGAGGCAGCAGUGGGGAAUCUUAGACAAUGGGGGCAACCCUGAUCUAGCCAUGUCGCGUGAGUGAUGAAGGCCCUAGGGUUGUAAAGCUCUUUCAGCUGGGAAGAUAAUGACGGUACCAGCAGAAGAAGCCCCGGCUAACUCCGUG
rnacentral:rRNA from 1 species